rnacentral:rRNA from 1 species
CCUACGGGAGGCAGCAGUGAGGAAUAUUGGUCAAUGGGCGUAAGCCUGAACCAGCCAAGUCGCGUGAGGGAUGAAGGUUCUAUGGAUCGUAAACCUCUUUUAUAAGGGAAUAAAGUGUGGGACGUGUCCUAUUUUGUAUGUACCUUAUGAAUAAGGAUCGGCUAACUCCGUGCCAGCAGCCGCGGUAAUACGGAGGAUCCGAGCGUUAUCCGGCUUUAUUGGGUUUAAUGGGUGCGUAGGCGGCUUUUUACGUUAGCGGGGAAAGUCUGUGGCUCAACCAUAGAAUUGCCGUUGAAAGUGGUGGUCUUGAGUAUGUAUGAGGCAGGAGGAAUGCGUGGUGGAGCGGUGAAAUGCUUAGAUAUCACGCAGAACACCGAGUGCGAAGGCAGC